rfam:Dictyostelium fasciculatum unplaced genomic scaffold Scf_ETAJFTG02HR96I-5, whole genome shotgun sequence.
GGCAAUUUGGGUGAGUGGUCUAAGCCGAUGCACUCGAAAUGCAUUCUCUUCGGAGGCGCAGGUUCAAACCCUGCAGUUGUCG